UGCCGGACUGGUGGAAUGGCAGACACGGUGGAUUCAAAAUCCACUGCCCGCAAGGGCAUCUCGGUUCAAGUCCGAGGUCCGGUAU
rnacentral:tRNA from 1 species